rnacentral:tRNA from 1 species
GGAGAGAUGGCCGAGUUGGUCGAAGGCGCACGCCUGGAAAGUGUGUAUACGCCAAAAGCGUAUCAUGGGUUCGAAUCCCAUUCUCUCCG